GACGAACGCUGGCGGCGUGCCUAAUACAUGCAAGUAGAACGCACAGUUUAUACCGUAGCUUGCUACACCAUAGACUGUGAGUUGCGAACGGGUGAGUAACGCGUAGGUAACCUGCCUGGUAGCGGGGGAUAACUAUUGGAAACGAUAGCUAAUACCGCAUAAUAUUAAUUAUUGCAUGAUAAUUAAUGGAAAGGUGCAAUUGCACCACUACCAGAUGGACCUGCGUUGUAUUAGCUAGUAGGUGAGGUAACGGCUCACCUAGGCGACGAUACAUAGCCGACCUGAGAGGGUGAUCGGCCACACUGGGACUGGGACACGGCCCAGACUCCUACGGGAGGCAGCAGUAGGGAAUCUUCGGCAAUGGACGAAAGUCUGACCGAGCAACGCCGCGUGAGUGAAGAAGGGUUUCGGAUCGUAAAGCUCUGUUGUAAGAGAAGAACGGGUGUGAGAGUGGAAAGUUCACACUGUGACGGUAUCUUACCAGAAAGGGACGGCUAACUACGUG
rnacentral:rRNA from 1 species